rnacentral:rRNA from 1 species
UACGUAGGGUGCAAGCGUUAAUCGGAAUUACUGGGCGUAAAGCGUGCGCAGGCGGUUGUGUAAGACAGAUGUGAAAAUCCCCGGGCUCAACCUGGGAACUGCAUUUGUGACUGCACAGCUGGAGUGCGGCAGAGGGGGAUGGAAUUCCGCGUGUAGCAGUGAAAUGCGUAGAUAUGCGGAGGAACACCGAUGGCGAAGGCAAUCCCCUGGGCCUGCACUGACGCUCAUGCACGAAAGCGUGGGGAGCGAAACAAGGAUUGAGAAACCCU